CANGGUUUGACAUCNCCGGAAAUCCCGCAGAGAUGCGGGUUCCUUUNUGGGCCGGNGACAGGUGGUGCAUGGCUGUCGUCAGCUCGUGUCGUGAGAUGUUGGGUUAAGUCCCGCAACGAGCGCAACCCUCGUUCCAUGUUGCCAGCACGUGAUGGUGGGGACUCAUGGGAGACCGCCGGGGUCAACUCGGAGGAAGGUGGGGAUGACGUCAAGUCAUCAUGCCCCUUAUGUCUUGGGCUGCAAACAUGCUACAAUGGCCGGUACAGUGGGCUGCGAUACCGUGAGGUGGAGCGAAUCCCUUAAAGCCGGUCUCAGUUCGGAUNGAAGUCUGCAACUCGACUUCGUGAAGUCGGAGUCGCUAGUAAUCGCAGAUCAUNNCGCGCG
rnacentral:rRNA from 1 species